rnacentral:rRNA from 1 species
CCUACGGGAGGCAGCAGUGGGGAAUAUUGGACAAUGGGCGCAAGCCUGAUCCAGCCAUGCCGCGUGAGUGAUGAAGGCCCUAGGGUUGUAAAGCUCUUUCGCACGCGACGCGGUAGCGUGAGAAGAAGCCCCGGCUAACUUCGUGCCAGCAGCCGCGGUAAUACGAAGGGGGCUAGCGUUGUUCGGAAUCACUGGGCGUAAAGGGCGCGUAGGCGGCCGAUCAAGUCGGGGGUGAAAGCCUGUGGCUCAACCACAGAAUUGCCUUCGAUACUGUUUGGCUUGAGACCGGAAGAGGUUAGUGGAACUGCGAGUGUAGAGGUGAAAUUCGUAGAUAUUCGCAAGAACACCAGUGGCGAAGGCGGCUGACUGGUCCGGUCUGACGCUGAGGCGCGAAAGCGUGGGGAGCAAACAGGAUUAGAUACCCUUGUAGUC